rnacentral:lncRNA from 1 species
UGAAAAAUAUAUAUUCUUCUUCAAAAAUGAAACUUUCGAUAUUAUUUCUUUCACUGUUUGUCGUUGGUCAAAUUAGUAUUUCAGCGCGUUAUACUUAGUUUGCAUCACAACCAUCGAUCUGGGUUUUAAAACCUAACGAUUUCGGAAAUGGACGGCGCAGAUUUGUGGAAAGUGGAUGCAGAUAUAAAAGAAAGUAGGGUCCACGCUCCACCGUUCAAACCUUGGGUCUACUCACGUCUUACAGGCCAC